GAUGAACGCUGGCGGCGUGCUUAACACAUGCAAGUCGAACGAUUAAAGCCCCUUCGGGGGUGUAUAGAGUGGCGAACGGGUGAGUAACACGUGGGCAAUCUGCCCCUCACUUCGGGAUAACUCAAGGAAACUUGAGCUAAUACCGGAUACUCCGGACUGAUCGCAUGGUCGGUCCGGGAAGGCUCAGACGGUGAGGGAGGAGCCCGCGGCCCAUUAGCUUUUUGGUGGGGUAACGGCCCACCAAGGGGACGAGGGGUAGCCGAGCUGAGAGGCUGAUCGGCCACACUGGGACUGGGACACGGCCCAGACUCCUACGGGAGGCAGCAGGGGGGAAUUUUGCGCAAUGGGCGAAAGCCUGACGCAGCAACGCCGCGUGCGGGAUGAAGGCUCUCGGUUCGUAAACCGCUUUCAGCAGGGAUGAAAUUGACAGUACCUGCAGAAGAAGCCCCGGCUAAAUACGUGCCAGCCGCCGCCGUAAGAC
rnacentral:rRNA from 1 species